rnacentral:rRNA from 1 species
GACGAACGCUGGCGGCGUGCUUAACACAUGCAAGUCGAACGGAAACGCCCUGCUUUUUUGGUGUGCUCGAGUGGCGAACGGGUGAGUAACACGUGAGUAACCUGCCCUUGACUUUGGUAUAACUUCAGGAAACUGGGGCUAAUACCGUAUAGGAGCUCCUCCUGCAUGGUGGGGGUUGGAUCUUCUCGGCGGUUGGGGAUGGACUCGCGGCUUAUCAGCUUGUUGGUGGGGUAGUGGCUUACCAAGGCUUUGACGGGUAGCCGGCAUGAGAGGGUGACCGGCGACAUUGGGACUGAGAUACGGCCCAGACUCCAACGGGGGGCAGCAGUGGGGAAUAUUGCACAAUGGGAGGGAGCCUGAUGAAGAAACGCCGCGGGCGGGAUGACGGCCUGCGGGGUGUAAACCGCUGUAGCCUGUGACGAAGCGUGAGUGACGGUAAUGGGUAAAGAAGCACCGGCUAACUACGUG